rnacentral:rRNA from 1 species
AGAGUUUGAUCCUGGCUCAGGACGAACGCUGGCGGCGUGCCUAAUACAUGCAAGUCGAACGCUUCUUUUUCCACCGGAGCUUGCUCCACCGGAAAAAGAGGAGUGGCGAACGGGUGAGUAACACGUGGGUAACCUGCCCAUCAGAAGGGGAUAACACUUGGAAACAGGUGCUAAUACCGUAUAACAAUCGAAACCGCAUGGUUUUGAUUUGAAAGGCGCUUUCGGGUGUCGCUGAUGGAUGGACCCGCGGUGCAUUAGCUAGUUGGUGAGGUAACGGCUCACCAAGGCCACGAUGCAUAGCCGACCUGAGAGGGUGAUCGGCCACAUUGGGACUGAGACACGGCCCAAACUCCUACGGGAGGCAGCAGUAGGGAAUCUUCGGCAAUGGACGAAAGUCUUACCGAGCAACGCCGCGUGAGUGAAGAAGGUUUUCGGAUCGUAAAACUCUGUUGUUAGAGAAGAACAAGGAUGAGAGUAACUGUUCAUCCCUUGACGGUAUCUAACCAGAAAGCCACGGCUAACUACGUGCCAGCAGCCGCGGUAAUACGUAGGUGGCAAGCGUUGUCCGGAUUUAUUGGGCGUAAAGCGAGCGCAGGCGGUUUCUUAAGUCUGAUGUGAAAGCCCCCGGCUCAACCGGGGAGGGUCAUUGGAAACUGGGAGACUUGAGUGCAGAAGAGGAGAGUGGAAUUCCAUGUGUAGCGGUGAAAUGCGUAGAUAUAUGGAGGAACACCAGUGGCGAAGGCGGCUCUCUGGUCUGUAACUGACGCUGAGGCUCGAAAGCGUGGGGAGCAAACAGGAUUAGAUACCCUGGUAGUCCACGCCGUAAACGAUGAGUGCUAAGUGUUGGAGGGUUUCCGCCCUUCAGUGCUGCAGCUAACGCAUUAAGCACUCCGCCUGGGGAGUACGACCGCAAGGUUGAAACUCAAAGGAAUUGACGGGGGCCCGCACAAGCGGUGGAGCAUGUGGUUUAAUUCGAAGCAACGCGAAGAACCUUACCAGGUCUUGACAUCCUUUGACCACUCUAGAGAUAGAGCUUCCCCUUCGGGGGCAAAGUGACAGGUGGUGCAUGGUUGUCGUCAGCUCGUGUCGUGAGAUGUUGGGUUAAGUCCCGCAACGAGCGCAACCCUUAUUGUUAGUUGCCAUCAUUCAGUUGGGCACUCUAGCAAGACUGCCGGUGACAAACCGGAGGAAGGUGGGGAUGACGUCAAAUCAUCAUGCCCCUUAUGACCUGGGCUACACACGUGCUACAAUGGGAAGUACAACGAGU